CCCUAGGGCUCAUCCCAGUCCCACCUCCCAUUAAUCUCUCGAUGGUCGUGGUUGCGGGGUGUUCGAUCCAAGUUUCGUUGGCCUCGAUUGCUCAGGAUUAUUUAGGGGUUUGAUGGAAUAUCCACCUAUUUUAGUUUAUUUAUUUUGAGAUCCCAAAUGUUUCCUUGUUGAAUGUGGCAGGCUAUGAGGAAAUAUUUCGGAUUGUCCUUUUGAAAUUUCGCAAAAAAAUAAAUUACUCUUACGGGAUUGAUUUCCUCUAUAUGGAGGUACUCCAUGACUUCUUGAGUCGGUAUUCCUAACAAUCCUAGGUGCAGCACUAAAUCGCAUUAGCCGUAAGAUCAAGGUAAUUGGAUUGUAUAAUUUAAAUUCAGGACCGUAUAAAGAGCUUAGCGAGUGAGGGGACAACAGAUUGUGGGACAUGCAUGUACUUGUUUUGCACAGCCGCGCAUGACCGCAAAGUUUUCUUUGCUUGCAGGGAAAUUGCCAUGUUUCUCGAAGGGAUUAGCUAAAGAGGUUAGCUAGUCAAACGACAAUAUUCACGUUAGUUUCCAAGUUUCCUCGUAGUAAAAUAAGUCCCGAUUUUUAAAUCUAUCUCACAUGUCUUUUAUACAACACACACUUUCUAUCAUCUGGGUGUAUCGACCGUCACUGAUUCAUCAUUGAUGGACGAAAUAAAAUUGGAGCUGAGAGGCACGAGGGAUGGUCUUCUAUCAUCGUUGAUAGAGGAAAUAGGAAUCGACACUAAGAGGCUUUAAAGGACCCUGUAUUCAUCGAUUGGGUAUGUACUAACAUGAAGGUGCCCCGCUGUCCCAUGUCAUUAUUUUAGCACAUGGCCAGGCUAGUAAUGUUCUGCUAUCUUAACCUUCAUGUUAUGCAGAGUAAUAUCAUACAUUUUGUAUGUCAUAUAUAGGUUCUCAUCUCAUCGGAUGCACGACUCUCGACCAUACCCCGGUUUUAAUAGUUGGGAAUUGUGGCCAAACACUCCGGACUCUUUGUCUAGACAUCGGAUACAUUGAAAACUUCUUACCAUAUAUCCCAAUAAGACAUGACUAAAAUCACCGGUCACCACACAUGCUACAAAAUCGAGUAUGUCCAUGAACAACAUAGGAUGGCUUCCUCUAGACAACAACAACAUCGAAAGACGCACGAUCAUGAGUUGGUUUACUACACUCACGAGAACAAAACUUGAUUUGAACUUGGAUAAGGAUAGUCGGGAUGACAAGAUAAAAAGCUCAAUAAAAGCAUCAUACAAUUUGAAUAUAAUGUAAUACAAUCUCUAGAGGUGACUUCAAACGGUCAACAAAAUAGCAGGUCGUUUCACCUUCUUCUUACAUUUUGAAGUCUAGUGCAUGGCUUGUUUUAUGCCAAUGAUCACGUGACUGCUGCGGUGACGGGCAUCCACAAGAUCUGGGUUGUGCAUAACUCGCCCCGCCAUGGGCGCGCGCACACAUUCGUAUCCCGUUGGCUAGUCCUCACCGGACGCAUGUCUCAUCCUUGUUGGUCACCGCCGAUACGAUGAUGGUUGUGCAGGAUGUGUUGCACCAGGCGUGCGUUCAUAGCGUGGGUCUGGCCACAUCCCAUCCCUAGGGCUCAUCCCAGUCCCACCUCCCCUUAAUCCCUCGGUGGUGGUCGUUGCAGGGUCUUCGAUCCAAGUUUCGUUUGCCUCGACUACUCAGGAUUAUUUAGGGGUUUGAUGGAACAUCCACCCAAUAAUUUUUAGUUUAUUUCUUUUGAGAUCCCAAAUAUUUCCUUGUUGAAUGUGUGAGGCUAUGAGGAAAUAUUUCAGAUUGUCCUUCUGAAAUUUCGCAAAAGAGAAAUUACUCUUACGGGAUUGCGGUUUGCUCUUUAUAUGGAGGUACUCCAUGACUUCUUGAGUCUGUAUUCCUAACAAUCUUAGGUGGAGCACUAAAUCAAAUUAGCCAUAAGAUCAAGGUAAUUGGAUCGUACAAUUUAAAUUCAGGACCUUAAAAAUAGAUUAGCAAGUGAGGGGAAAACAGAUUGUAGGACAUGCAUGUACUUGUUUUGCACAACCGCAUGACCGCAAAGUUUUCUUUGCAUGCAGGGAAUUGCCAUGUUUCUCGAAGGGAUUAGCUAAAUAUGUUAGCUAGUUAAACGACAAUAUUCAUGUUAAUUUCCAUGUUUCCUCGUAGUAUAAUAAUUCCUUAUUUUUUAAAUCUAUCUCACAUGUCUUUAUACAACACACACUUUCUAUCUUCUCGGUGUAUCGACUGUCGCUGAUUCAUCAUUGAUGGAGGAAAUAAAAUUGAAACUCAGAGGCACGGGGGAGAUUCAUAUUUAUCGCUUGGGAAUUGGGUGCCCUCCUGGCUCACCACAUUAAUAUUUCAGCACAUGCACUAUUCUUCUCUAGUGAGCUCUGAUUUUCUAUCAUCACCUUCAUUUGUAUUAAACCACAUAUUUACUGUGUCAUAGUAUCACUACACCACCCCCACCACCAAAUCAUACCCAUGCAUAUUGCAUAUAAUGGAUUUAAGCCCACAACCAGUCUACUAUAUAUAUCAUGUUGUGCUGAGUUGGUGGGAGAUUUUGGUGUUAUGUUGUGCACCGUCCCUUCAUUCCAAGCCAUGGUUUCAAGUUGGAUUCAUGUAUUGUUGAAAAGCGGAGUGCUCUUCUAUUAAAAUAGAUUAGAAACUGCACACACACGCACGCACGCACGCACUACUUGUUGUCAAGCAUCUGACGUUGGACUUAUAUAUUUUGGGAUUCAAAGAAGGAAUCACAAUCUACUCUAACCUACUAGUCACAUUCGCACUCUCAAGUUACAUGCAUAUGUUGCUCUGAACAAGGAAAAAUGCACCUGAUCAUGAGAAUUAUUCCGUUAAGUGUUUGUGAUGUAUACGGAUAAGUAUUCUUUUUUUUGAUGUGAUGAAAUCGACGGCUUGAUCCACGGGAAACAAAACAAUAUGCAAGUCAAGCCCGUCUGAAGAUUACUUGGUGUUGGAACUUAACUACUUGUGCAUCUCAUUAUUGGUGUCAAACAAGUGGAGCGUUGCAAACCAGGACAUUGUGGGGAUUUCUGUCCAUUGGUUCAAAUGUAGGCUUCAGAUGAAAGAGAAGAUGGUAAUUCACUAUAAAGCAAUGUAA
rnacentral:lncRNA from 1 species